rnacentral:lncRNA from 10 species
GCAUGCGCGAGUCGACAGCCUUGUCACCCUACGCCUCCGCCCGCGUCUGAGGAACAUUUUUGCCUCCGCCCGCUUCCUGUCCUGCCCUGCCCCGCCCCGCCCUGCCUGCCCCGGGUCGGGUCCGCGGGAGACCGAGGGCUGGGUUUGGGAAUCGGCGGUCUAAGGGCUGCCUCCCCGCCACUCCUUGUCCGGACCCCGCGCCCGGGGCCUCCCGCCGCCGCGGCGCCUCCUCAGAGAGCCCGGGUCAGCUGCCCCUGUGGCCGCGGCUGGUCCCAAACUCACUGAAUCGGGAACUCUGGUCUGGGUACAGAAAUCGGGGUGAUUCUGAUGCAGGCGAGAGUUGGAGAACCAAUGUCGUAGUUCAUCAGCCUCCGAAAGCAUCCUUUGCUCUCUUUCCAGAAAGGAAGAGCAUCUCUGCCAUUCGUGUCUCAAGGACAAGCGCUUCAGCCUCGUUCUCUGUGAGCUGAUCUGUGGAUCGCGGCGUGUCGGGACUCAGUAGUCUUUGAGGAUGUGGCUGUGGACUUUACCCAG